rnacentral:antisense_RNA from 1 species
UGUAAAUACGCUCCUUUGCGUGUUAUAAAGUGGACAUAGAGAAAGAUUCUUUGCGGGAUAGUUCUCUAUGUCUUUUAUUGUACCA